GAUGAACGCUAGCGGCAGGCUUAAUACAUGCAAGUCGUGGGGCAGCAGGGGUGUAGCAAUACAUCUGCUGGCGACCGGCAAACGGGUGCGUAACACGUACGCAACCUUCCCGUUACUGUGGCAUAGCCCAGGGAAACUUGGAUUAAUACCACAUAUUAUAUAGAGAGGGCAUCCUUUUUAUAUCAAAGCUUCGGCGGUAACGGAUGGGCGUGCGGUUGAUUAGGUAGUUGGCGGGGUAACGGCCCACCAAGCCUACGAUCAAUAGCUGAUGUGAGAGCAUGAUCAGCCACACGGGAACUGAGACACGGGCCCGACUCCUACGGGAGGCAGCAGUAAGGAAUAUUGGGCAAUGGACGAAAGUCUGACCCAGCCAUGCCGCGUGAAGGAUUAAGGUCCUCUGGAUUGUAAACUUCUUUUCUCUGGGGCGAAAACCAGCUAUUCUUAGCUAUUUGACAGUACCAGAGGAAUAAGCACCGGCUAACUCCGUGCCAGCAGCCGCCGUAAGAC
rnacentral:rRNA from 1 species